CCUACGGGAGGCAGCAGUGGGGAAUUUUGGACAAUGGGCGCAAGCCUGAUCCAGCCAUGCCGCGUGCGGGAAGAAGGCCUUCGGGUUGUAAACCGCUUUUGUCAGGGAAGAAAUCCUUUGGGUUAAUACCUCGGAGGGAUGACGGUACCUGAAGAAUAAGCACCGGCUAACUACGUGCCAGCAGCCGCGGUAAUACGUAGGGUGCGAGCGUUAAUCGGAAUUACUGGGCGUAAAGCGUGCGCAGGCGGUUAUGCAAGACAGAUGUGAAAUCCCCGGGCUCAACCUGGGAACUGCAUUUGUGACUGCAUAGCUAGAGUACGGUAGAGGGGGAUGGAAUUCCGCGUGUAGCAGUGAAAUGCGUAGAUAUGCGGAGGAACACCGAUGGCGAAGGCAAUCCCCUGGACCUGUACUGACGCUCAUGCACGAAAGCGUGGGGAGCAAACAGGAUUAGAUACCCUGGUAGUCCACGCCCUAAACGAUGUCAACUGGUUNUUGGACGGCUUGCUGUUCAGUACGAAGCUAACGCGUGAAGUUGACCGCCUGGGGGAGGACGGCGCGAGUAGUACGUACGAAGAAGUAGAGCGNGAGAGAGCGACGGACGACGACGAGGGAGGAGG
rnacentral:rRNA from 1 species